CUUAGUUCAUGUUAGUUAAUACAUUAAAUAAUAAUAACAAAUGAGACCUUAUUGUAAAGUGUUACCUGCAGCAAUCUAAUAGCUGGAUUAGUAUUUUUACAAAUACAAAUACUGAAAAGUACGUUUCAGACCAGCAAAAAAGGCAAAAUUUUCUUGGAAUCAACAGUUGAAAUUGUUUCAGAAAAUUCUUAUCUUACAAUAGAACUACAUGUAGUUUAGGUAGCAAUGUUUUGAAACAACACCAAUGUCUAUGGUAACACAAAUUGUAAAAUGACCAUAUGAUUUAAACAAGUUUUGACAAAAUAGUUCUCUAAAACGAUAACCUCACAUUUCAGCCUAAUAAAUGAUUAUGUUAUAUAUAAUUGGUCUGAACAAAAAUGGCAGACUGACUAAAUGAAAAUGAAAAUUUACUCUCUGGUAGUAGGUGACUCUAAUGGAAAAGCUGAAACACAGCGGUUACCCCUGUACACAAAGCAGUAACGUGCCUUAAACAGUAAUUUACUAGACAUACAGAGAAAAAAAUGAAAAGAAAAUGCAUUCAAAAAUUUUCUGAAGACAGUCAGUUCCCUUCAAAGAUAUAAAAAUGCUUAAAUUCACCUUCAACACCC